rnacentral:rRNA from 1 species
CGGAAGCACCGGCAGACAGUUCCGUAACACGUCGAUAAUCUGCCCUUGGGUUGGGGAUAACCUUGGAAAACUGAGGAUAACACCCGAUAAGUGAAAGAUACUGGAAUGUACUUUCACCAAAAGAUUACGCCCAAGGAUGAGUCGGCGCCCGAUUAGGUAGUUGGUGGUGUAAUGGACCACCAAGCCUAAGAUCGGUUGGGGCCUUGAGAGAGGUAGCCCCGAGGAGGACACUGAGAUAACGGUCCUGACUCUACGGAGUAUAGCAAGUGCGAAACCUUUACAAUGCACGAAAGUGUGAUAAGGGAUUCUGAGUGCCUAUGCAUUGCAUAGGCUUUUGCCAAGUGUAAAAAGCUUGGAGAAUAAGUGGUGGGCAAGACUGGUGCCAGCAGCCGCGGUAACACCAGCGCCACAAGUGGGGACCACAAUUAUUGGGCCUAAAGCGUUCGUAGCCGGCUAUAUAAAUCUUUUGUGAAAUUGUUAGGCUUAACUUAACAGCUUGCAGAAGACACUAUAUGGCUAGAGACCGGGAGGAGUCAGAGGAAUUUUGGGGGUAGCGGUAAAAUGCAAUAAUCCCCGAAGGACCACCAGUGGCGAAGGCGUCUGACCAGAACGGUUCUGACGGUGAGGAACGAAAGCCAGGGGAGCGAACCGGAUUAGAUACCCGAGUAGUCCUGGCCGUAAACACUGCGAGCUAGGUGUCGCAUAUUCUACGUGAAUGUGCGGUGUCGAAGCGAAGGUGAUAAGCUCGCCGCCUGGGUAGUACGGUCGCAAGACUGAAACUUAAAGGAAUUGGCGGGGGAGCACAACAAGGGGUGCGGCGUGCGGUUUAAUCCAACUCAACGCGGAGAAUCUCACCAGAGGCGACGGCAGGAUGAAAGUCAGGCUAAAGACCUUACUUAACAAGCCGAGAGGUGGUGCAUGGCCGUCGUCAGCUCGUGCUGUGAAGUGUCCUGUUAAGUCAGGCAACGAGCGAGACCUGCACUCACAAUUGCCAUCGGCACUUAUAGUGGACCGGGCACAAUGUGAGGACUGCCUUGGUAACAAGGAGGAAGGUGCAGGCAACGGUAGGUCUGUAUGCCCCGAAUCCUCUGGGCUACACGCGCGCAACAAUGGUAUGGACAAUGGGAUGCAACUCCGAAAGGAGAAGCUAAACCUCUAAACCAUAUCCCAGUCCAGAUUGAGGGCUGUAACUCGCCCUCAUGACGUCGGAAUCCCUAGUAACCAGACUUUAGCAUAGUCCGGUGAAUAUGUCCCUGCUCCUUGCACACACCGCCC